GACGAACGCUGGCGGCGUGCUUAACACAUGCAAGUCGAACGGAAAGGCCCUGCUUUUGUGGGGUGCUCGAGUGGCGAACGGGUGAGUAACACGUGAGUAACCUGCCCUUGACUUUGGGAUAACUUCAGGAAACUGGGGCUAAUACCGGAUAGGAGCUCCUGCUGCAUGGUGGGGGUUGGAAAGUUUCGGCGGUUGGGGAUGGACUCGCGGCUUAUCAGCUUGUUGGUGGGGUAGUGGCUGACCAAGGCUUUGACGGGUAGCCGGCAUGAGAGGGUGACCGGCCACAAUGGGCCUGAGAUACGGCGCAGACUCCUACGGGAGGCAGCAGUCGGGAAUAUUGCACAAUGGGCGGAAGCCUGAGGCAGCAACGCCGCGUGCGGGAAGAUGGCCUUCGGGUUGUAAACCGCUUUCGCCUGUGACGAAGCGUGAGUGACGGUAAUGGGUAAAGAAGCACCGGCUAACUACGUG
rnacentral:rRNA from 1 species